AACGAACGCUGGCGGCAGGCCUAACACAUGCAAGUCGAGCGAGGACUUCGGUUCUAGCGGCGGACGGGUGAGUAACGCGUGGGAAUGUGCCCUUCUCUACGGAAUAGCCCUGGGAAACUGGGAGUAAUACCGUAUACGCCCUAUUGGGGAAAGAUUCAUCGGAGAAGGAUCAGCCCGCGUUGGAUUAGGUAGUUGGUGUGGUAAUGGCCUACCAAGCCGACGAUCCAUAGCUGGUUUGAGAGGAUGAUCAGCCACACUGGGACUGAGACACGGCCCAGACUCCUACGGGAGGCAGCAGUGGGGAAUCUUAGACAAUGGGGGCAACCCUGAUCUAGCCAUGCCGCGUGAGUGAUGAAGGCCUUAGGGUUGUAAAGCUCUUUCAGCUGGGAAGAUAAUGACGGUACCAGCAGAAGAAGCCCCGGCUAACUCCGUG
rnacentral:rRNA from 1 species